rnacentral:sRNA from 1 species
GUCUGAGCCAUGCUCGCGGCGAUGGGCUCUCUGGCGGCUGCCCUCUGGGCAGUGGUCCAUCCUCGGACUCUCCUGCUGGGCACUGUCGCCUUUCUGCUUGCUGCUGACUUUCUCAAAAGACGGCGCCCAAAGAACUACCCGCCGGGGCCCUGGCGCCUGCCCUUCCUUGGCAACUUCUUCCUUGUGAACUUCGAGCAGUCGCACCUGGAGGUUCAGCUGGUAGGAGCGGGAGAAGUUUGUGAAGAAAUAUGGGAACCUUUUUAGCUUGGAGCUUGGUGAUAUAUCUGCAGUUCUUAUUACUGGCUUGCCCUUAAUCAAAGAAGCCCUUAUCCACAUGGACCAAAACUUUGGGAACCGCCCCGUGACCCCUAUACGAGAACAUAUCUUUAAGAAAAAUGGAUUGAUUAUGUCAAGUGGCCAGGUAUGGAAGGAGCAAAGAAGGUUCACUCUGACAGCACUAAGGAACUUUGGUUUAGGAAAGAAGAGCUUAGAGGAACGCAUUCAGGAGGAGGCCCAACACCUCACUGAAGCAAUAAAAGAGGAGAACGGACAGCCUUUUGACCCUCAUUUCAAGAUCAACAAUGCAGUUUCCAAUAUCAUUUGCUCCAUCACCUUUGGAGAACGCUUUGAGUACCAGGAUAGUCGGUUUCAGCAGCUGCUGAAGUUACUGGAUGAAGUCACCUACUUGGAGGCUUCAAAGACAUGCCAGCUCUACAAUGUCUUUCCAUGGAUAAUGAAAUUCCUGCCUGGACCCCACCA